UGGGGAAUAUUGGACAAUGCCCGGAAGGGUGAACCAGCCAUCCCGCGUGAAGGAUGAAGGGGCUCUGCCUUGUAAACUUCUUUUGAAUGGGACGAAAAAGCCUCACUUGUGAGGAACUGACGGUACCAUUAGAAUAAGCACCGGCUAACUCCGUGCCAGCAGCCGCGGUAAUACGAAGGGGGCUAGCGUUGCUCGGAAUCACUGGGCGUAAAGCGCACGUAGGCGGACUCUUAAGUCGGUGGUGAAAUCCUGGAGCUCAACUCCAGAACUGCCUUCGAUACUGAGAGUCUCGAGUCCGAGAGAGGUGAGUGGAACUGCGAGUGUAGAGGUGAAAUUCGUAGAUAUUCGCAAGAACACCAGUGGCGAAGGCGGCUCACUGGCUCGGUACUGACGCUGAGGUGCGAAAGCGUGGGGAGCAAACAGGAUUAGAUACCAAGUAGUCCCUGAGCGGGCUGGCAAGGCGCAU
rnacentral:rRNA from 1 species